UUUGUGCUCUGGCCCCCAUACCUCCCACAAGGCAGGCUUUUUUUUUUUAAGGAGGCGGACAACAAUUCUUUGUGCAAAACCGAAUGGACUGACCAUGCGUAAUGGCUUCAAGUAAUUCCUCUCAACAACACAAAUUUGACGAUGGAGCAUUUGUUAGCUACAUGGUGACAUUCAACCAUCUAUGUUUCAACUGGAAUAUAGCAAAGAGAAUUUGAAACAGAGUUGGAUUUAGUGAACGUUAGAAGCUCAGCUACAGCCGAUGCCAGCACCAAGACAGCUAUGCACCAUAUUUGUCAUCUGCCAAAAGAAUGUAUCUUCUUCAGGAUUGCUCUCGUCUUUGGCCAGCUUCUCCAUGAACUCCUGGCAAGGGAGAUUGAAGUUUGUCUUCACAAUAAGCAUGGCCUUGAUGAAUUGCAGCGGACUCCACAGCACAGUGGUCCUGGCCUUCAAGCAUCUUGAUCGUGUCACUGAAUACGGUCAAGUUUCCAUGGACAAAGGCCAGCCAAAAUUCAGUCAGUGGAUCUUCGAACAUUGUUCGCAGGACAACAGGGCAUUUGUCUUCAGAAAUAAAAAAGGAUUUCAAUGGCACAUACAUUUUCAGCACUCUUUCUAGAGCAGGGAGCAUGGACAUCCAGCGAACAUGUCCUAAAAUGUUAUGCUACUCCUGGCCAACAAAAUCACCAAAGCUCUUCAGUCUUUCUACUCUGACGGUGAAAAUAUGAAAAUAUCUUUGUGAGCAGGUACUCAACAUCAAGGGGAAUCAUAUCCAAAGCUGUUCUGGACGUGUUAUGAAUGAUGUGGGCAGGACAACCUAAGCUGUUCUGGCCGUGUUAUGAAUGAUG